CCUACGGGGGGCAGCAGUGGGGAAUAUUGGACAAUGGGGGCAACCCUGAUCCAGCCAUGCCGCGUGUGUGAAGAAGGCCCUCGGGUUGUAAAGAACUUUCAGUGAGGAAGAACGCCUGGUGGUUAAUACCCAUCAGGAAAGACAUCACUCACAGAAGAAGCACCGGCUAACUCCGUGCCAGCAGCCGCGGUAAUACGGAGGGUGCGAGCGUUAAUCGGAAUUACUGGGCGUAAAGCGCGCGUAGGUGGCUUGAUAAGCCGGUUGUGAAAGCCCCGGGCUCAACCUGGGAACGGCAUCCGGAACUGUCAAGCUAGAGUGCAGGAGAGGAAGGUAGAAUUCCCGGUGUAGCGGUGAAAUGCGUAGAGAUCGGGAGGAAUACCAGUGGCGAAGGCGGCCUUCUGGACUGACACUGACACUGAGGUGCGAAAGCGUGGGUAGCAAACAGGAUUAGAUACCCGAGUAGUC
rnacentral:rRNA from 1 species